rnacentral:rRNA from 1 species
CAGUAGCCACGGUAAUACGGAGGGAGCUAGCGUUGUUCGGAAUUACUGGGCGUAAAGCGCACGUAGGCGGACAUUUAAGUCAGGGGUGAAAUCCCGGGGCUCAACCCCGGAACUGCCUUUGAUACUGGGUGUCUAGAGUAUGGAAGAGGUGAGUGGAAUUCCGAGUGUAGAGGUGAAAUUCGUAGAUAUUCGGAGGAACACCAGUGGCGAAGGCGGCUCACUGGUCCAUUACUGACGCUGAGGUGCGAAAGCGUGGGGAGCAAACAGGAUUAGAUACCCCGGUAGUCCCUGUCUCUUAUAC